rnacentral:rRNA from 1 species
UACAGGGGGUGCAAACGUUGUUCGGAAUUACUGGGCGUAAAGCGCACGUAGGCGGCUUUCUAAGUCAGGGGUGAAAUCCCGGGGCUCAACCCCGGAACUGCCCUUGAAACUGGAUGGCUAGAAUCCUGGAGAGGCGAGUGGAAUUCCGAGUGUAGAGGUGAAAUUCGUAGAUAUUAGGAAGAACACCAGUGGCGAAGGCGGCUCACUGGCCCGGUACUGACGCUGAGGCGCGAAAGCGUGGGGAGCAAACAGG